GUACGGCAGCUCAAUGAGUUUGUAUCACUGUGGUGCACGUUCGGUGGAGGAACCAGACUGGAUGUUGGAAGUGAUGUCCGUCCCACCCUGACGGUGCUGCCCCCCUCCAGUGAGGAGCUGCAGCAGGGGAAGGCCACGCUCAUGUGUCUGGCCAACAAGGGCUUCCCCUCAGACUGGAGUCUGUCCUGGAAGGUGGACGGCAGCAGCAGCAGCAGCAGCUGGGAGGAGAGCAGGAGCCCCGGGGUGCUGAAGGACGGCCACUACAGCUGGAGCAGCACCCUGAGGCUCUCUGCAGACCACUGGAGGAAGGUGGGCUCUGUGACCUGUGAGGCCACCCAGGGCUCCCAGACUCCGCUCUCAGAGACACUGAGGAGAGACCAGUGUUCCCAGUUCUGACCUGACUCACUGGGACUCUGAUACUGGUUUUACUCUGCUACUGCUCUCAGUCUGUACUGUGCAAGACUCUCUCUCUCUCUCUCUCUCUCUCUCUCUCUCUCUCGCUUGUUUUUCAGUUGAUUGUGUCAAAAUUUAAAAAUAAAUAAAAUGUUAUCAGAUCAA